CCUACGGGAGGCAGCAGUCGAGAAUUAUUCACAAUGGGGGAAACCCUGAUGGUGCGACGCCGCGUGGGGGAAUGAAGGUCUUCGGUUUGUAAACCCCUGUCAUGUGGGAGCAAAUUAAAAAGAUAGUACCACAAGAGGAAGAGACGGCUAACUCUGUGCCAGCAGCCGCGGUAAUACAGAGGUCUCAAGCGUUGUUCGGAAUCACUGGGCGUAAAGCGUGCGUAGGCUGUUUCGUAAGUCGUGUGUGAAAGGCGCGGGCUCAACCCGCGGACUGCACAUGAUACUGCGAGACUAGAGUAAUGGAGGGGGAACCGGAAUUCUCGGUGUAGCAGGGAAAUGCGUAGAGAUCGAGAGGAACACUCGUGGCGAAGGCGGGUUCCUGGACAUUAACUGACGCUGAGGCACGAAGGCCAGGGGAGCGAAAGGGAUUAGAUACCCUUGUAGUC
rnacentral:rRNA from 1 species